rnacentral:rRNA from 1 species
UACGGAGGGUGCAAGCGUUAAUCGGAAUUACUGGGCGUAAAGCGUGCGUAGGCGGUUCGUUAAGUCUGUUGUGAAAGCCCCGGGCUCAACCUGGGAAUGGCAAUGGAUACUGGCGAGCUAGAGUGUGUCAGAGGAUGGUGGAAUUCCCGGUGUAGCGGUGAAAUGCGUAGAGAUCGGGAGGAACAUCAGUGGCGAAGGCGGCCAUCUGGGACAACACUGACGCUGAGGCACGAAAGCGUGGGGAGCAACAGGAUUAGAACCUACCGUAGUCAG